UUGCGCAGUGUCCCGGGCUCCUGCGGCUUCUCAUGUCUCCGCAGGAUCCUGGGUCUGUCGGUCAGCGCCCCCCGACGCGUCUCGGGAGCUGCCGCGCUGCCUCCAGAGACCCCCAGUCGGAGAGGGGAGCCGAUAUUAGAGACUGGGUGGCCCCUCUCUCCAGGGCUCUGCGGCCCGGGUGGGGGUGCCUCCCUUUUCUUCCAGGACUGUGACUGCCGCCAUCCGUGCCUCCUGUCCUCAGAAACCCUGACACAGCAGGAAUUCAGGGAGGAUAUGCUGGAUGGAUAUGUGAAGUAAAAUUGGGGGACAGUCUCUUCGGGGCCGGACAGGACGGGAGACAGGAACAGGAGACAGUAGCUAGCACGGAAGGAGCCCGGUGACUUUAUCCUUAUCUAAAUUGCCUGCCUUCAGGCACACAAAGCUUUGGACUUCUCCCAACCUGGUGCCCGCCUUCAGGCACACAAUGCUUAGGAUGCGGCCUCCUUGUAUAACCUAUCGAGCCAGGGAACCUUCCGUGUCUGCACAUGCUUAUCCACUCAAUUUGUUGAUGGACAUCUGGGUUGUUUCCCCCUUUUGACUAUUAUGAAUCACUCUGCAGUAAACAUUCAUGAACAAGUUUUGUGUAGACAUGUUUUCAUUUCUCUUGGGUCUAUACCUAGGAAUGUAACUUUUGGUUCCUAUGGUAACUAUGUCUUUUUGUUUGUUUGUUUUAAUUAGAGAAGUUACAGAAAAAUCAUGCAUAAAAUACAGAAUUCCCAUAUGACACCUGUGCCAAUUUGGAUAUAUUAUGUCCCCCAGAA